rnacentral:rRNA from 1 species
AUUAGAUUAAAAACCAAUGCCCUUCGGGGCUCUCUGGUGAUUCAUGAUAACUUCUCGAAUCGCAUGGCCUUGCGCCGGCGAUGGUUCAUUCAAAUUUCUUCCCUAUCAACUUUCGAUGUUUGGGUAUUGGCCAAACAUGGUUGCAACGGGUAACGGAGGGUUAGGGCUCGACCCCGGAGAAGGAGCCUGAGAAACGGCUACUACAUCCAAGGAAGGCAGCAGGCGCGCAAAUUACCCAAUCCCGACUCGGGGAGGUAGUGACAAUAAAUACUGAUACAGGGUUCUUUUGGAUCUUGUAAUUGGAAUGAGUACAAUUUAAAUCCCUUAACGAGGAACAAUUGGAGGGCAAGUCUGGUGCCAGCAGCCGCGGUAAUUCCAGCUCCAAUAGCGUAUAUUAAAGUUGUUGUGGUUAAAAAGCUCGUAGUUGAACCUUGGGCCUGGCUGGCCGGUCCGCCUCACCGCGUGUACUGGUCCGGCCGGGCCUUUCCCUCUGUGGAACCCUAUGCCCUUCACUGGG